rnacentral:rRNA from 1 species
AUUAGUUGGAACCGCAUGGUUCCAACUUGAAAGAUGGCUCUGCUAUCACUUUGGGAUGGACCCGCGCCGUAUUAGUUAGUUGGUGAGAUAAAAGCCCACCAAGACGAUGAUACGUAGCCGACCUGAGAGGGUAAUCGGCCACAUUGGGACUGAGACACGGCCCAGACUCCUACGGGAGGCAGCAGUAGGGAAUCUUCCACAAUGGACGAAAGUCUGAUGGAGCAACGCCGCGUGAGUGAUGAAGGUUUUCGGAUCGUAAAACUCUGUUGUUAAAGAAGAACAAGUGUUAGAGUAACUGUUAACACUUUGGCGGUAUUUAACCAGAAAGCCACGGGCUAACUACGUGCCAGCAGCCGCGGUAAUACGUAGGUGGCAAGCGUUGUCCGGAUUUAUUGGGCGUAAAGCGAGCGCAGCGGUUUUGUAAGUCUGCUGUGAGAGCCCUCAGCUCAACUGAGGAAGUGCAGUGGGAACUACAAAACUUGAGUACAGAAGAGGAAAGUGGGGACUCCCUGUGUAGCGGUGAGAUGCGUAGAUAUAUGGGGAGAACACCAGUGGUGGAAGGCCGGCUUUCUGGUCUGUUACUGGACGACUGCAGGCUUCCAAAACAUGGGGUAGCUGAACAAGAAUUAUAUACCCUGGGUAGUCCAUGCCGUAGACGAUGAAUACUACGUUGGUUGGAGGGGGUUUUCGCCCGUUCACUGGCGGCCAGCUCACACAUUAAGUAAUUGCUGCUCUGCGGGGGGUACGACUCGCAAAGGCUGGAAACUCAUACGUAUUGACUCGGAGGGCCCGCCACGCACAUGGUGUGAGCACGUGGUUAAUUACGAUGGCUAGGCGGAGAGCGUAUCAGCUCGUGUCAUCGUUCUGCCACGCCACAAGAGUGGGACGGUGCCCUUCCACGACUGGAAUGACAGUGGCAGGCAGGGUUGUCGUCAGCCUCAAGUCUGGAAAGUAGGGUGA